GAAAAGACUUGCUCUUUGAGUUACGGCGGACGGGUGAGUACACGUGGGUACCUGCCCAUAAGACUGGGAUAACUCCGGGAAACCGGGGCUAAUACCGGAUAACAUUUUGAACUGCAUGGUUCGAAAUUGAAAGGCGGCUUCGGCUGUCACUUAUGGAUGGACCCGCGUCGCAUUAGCUAGUUGGUGAGGUAACGGCUCACCAAGGCAACGAUGCGUAGCCGACCUGAAGAGGGUGAUCGGCCCACACUGGGACUGAGACACGGCCCAGACUCCUACGGGAGGCAGCAGUAGGGAAUCUUCCGCAAUGGACGAAAGUCUGACGGAGCAACGCCGCGUGAGUGAUGAAGGCUUUCGGGUCGUAAAACUCUGUUGUUAGGGAAGAACAAGUGCUAGUUGAAUAAGCUGGCACCUUGACGGUACCUAACCAGAAAGCCACGGCUAACUACGUGCCAGCAGCCGCGGUAAUACGUANGUGGCAAGCGUUAUCC
rnacentral:rRNA from 1 species